UGCAAGUCGAGCGGCAGCGACACAUUGAACCUUCGGGGGAUUUGUUGGGCCGUGAGCGGCGGACGGGUGAGUAAUGCCUGGGAAAUUGCCCUGAUGUGGGGGAUAACCAUUGGAAACGAUGGCUAAUACCGCAUGAUAGCUUCGGCUCAAAGAGGGGGACCUUCGGGCCUCUCGCGUCAGGAUAUGCCCAGGUGGGAUUAGCUAGUUGGUGAGGUAAGGGCUCACCAAGGCGACGAUCCCUAGCUGGUCUGAGAGGAUGAUCAGCCACACUGGAACUGAGACACGGUCCAGACUCCUACGGGAGGCAGCAGUGGGGAAUAUUGCACAAUGGGCGCAAGCCUGAUGCAGCCAUGCCGCGUGUAUGAAGAAGGCCUUCGGGUUGUAAAGUACUUUCAGCAGUGAGGAAGGGGGUAUCGUUAAUAGCGGUAUCCUUUGACGUUAGCUGCAGAAGAAGCACCGGCUAACUCCGUGCCAGCAGCCGCGGUAAUACGGAGGGUGCGAGCGUUAAUCGGAAUUACUGGGCGUAAAGCGCAUGCAGGUGGUUUGUUAAGUCAGAUGUGAAAGCCCGGGGCUCAACCUCGGAAUUGCAUUUGAAACUGGCAGGCUAGAGUACUGUAGAGGGGGGUAGAAUUUCAGGUGUAGCGGUGAAAUGCGUAGAGAUCUGAAGGAAUACCGGUGGCGAAGGCGGCCCCCUGGACAGAUACUGACACUCAAAUGCGAAAGCGUGGGGAG
rnacentral:rRNA from 1 species